GUUUUUGAAUGAAACCAAACAGUGGCUACAGAAAUCCACUAUUAUCUACCAUUCAAGUUUAAUAGCUGUAUUAACUGAGCAUUUUCAUGUAGAAUAUGGAGCUUGUCACUAUAAGAUUAAAUUUGAGAGGAACAUUGAAAAUUAUCCUCCCUCUCCCUGUCCAGAUCUUUCUUAAUCACAUCUGCAAGCAAGAUGUCAUUUGGAGUCAAGUAAAAAAGAGCACAUUGAACUAGUAGCCUUGAAACUUCUACUCCAUUUUUUUUUCUAAUUGGACAAAGGAAAAAAGGAAAGAAACAGAAACCCACAGUACAGCUCAAAGAGAAGGGUUUGUUGACACAAAGAGGUGAGACAUUCGUGAAAGUAUAACCAAAACACUCCCCAGGAAGACGCUGACGAUGGAAAGAAAUGUUUCCCAUACGUGAACUACACUGGGUAGAAAGGCUGUGAAGAAGUAACAGUUACAAAGGCAAAGGCAAUGGACGAAGAUGGUCCUUCCUCAUCUCUUUACUACUCCUGGCUUUGCCAAACAUAGCAAAAGAAAUCACUUUUCAAAAAUGGUUUUCCAAUGGUCGACCAAUAUUUAAACUGACAAAAAUCAAAUUGUUUGGAUCCUCAGCAAUGUUCUUGAACUUUAACCCCUCCAGGGAUAUGGAACACCCCAUCUUCUGAGACAGCUCCUUACCAGAUUGUAAACUCCAUGAAAGCAGCCACUCUGUGUUGGUCACCACCAUAUUCCUAGGGCCUGGGCCAGUGCCUGGCAGAUGAAACACAGGAAUGAUAAUAAGGUGUCAGGUAAGUCUUCAUCUUUUCUAUUUAACCUGCCAGCUCAUUUUUAAACAUUCCUGUUCCAGCUUCGGGGAGAUUUCUGCCAUCACAGUUGGUAUUUCACAACACCUGUUUCUGCUACAAGCCAUUGCUCUCCUCAACUUUCUUUAGGAAAUGAGCUGCUUUGCUUAGUCAAAUCUCAUUACUCUUUUCAUAAUUGCCUUAGGUCUCCAUUCAUUAACAGAGAAGAAUCUAAAGCUUUACUAGUACUGCUACUGAAGACAUAACUAAGAUUUCCUGCUAUUGGGCCUUACAGGAACUAAGUUCCAUUUAAAAGCAAAACUGUAUAUAUUGUGUUGCUUCUUUAUCUUGUUUGCCUCACAUAUUAAACACAAUCAGUUCUGGAGGUCAACUAUGAAACCCAAGAUAUGCAAGUUUCUGGUCUGAAAUCUCUGUCAUGAUUAGGCUAUAAUACAUGCAAAUCAAUUAGGCAGAACUUGGAACAAUUGUUAACAAUUUCUCUUAAUCGUUUCUCUUAAAUGAUUAAGAGAAAUGAGGUCACGGCAGUAGCUGGUAACACUGAUUGCUGAAAACACAGCCAUCAUACCUUAGCUUAAUAUGUGACUCGGAGAUGUGUAUAAUACAUUUUUUAAAUAAUAGUAUUUCAAUUGACAAAUCAUAAUUGUAUUACUUUAAUGCAGCACCAUGUGAUGUUUUGAUGUAUGUAUACAAGACAUAAUGGUUACAUCGGGCCAAUUAAUAUAUCCAUCAUAUCACUUAACUUUUUUGUGAUGAUACAUUUGAAAUUUACUUUCUUAGUUAUGUUGACAUAUAUAACGCAUUAUUAUUGACCAUUGUCACCCUGUUGUGCAUGGAUCUCAAAACUUACUCUUACUGCCUAGCUGAAACUUUGUACCCUUUGAUCAGCAGCUCCUCAUUCCCUUGCAGCUCCAUCUCCUUCUCACCGCAGCCCCUGAUAACCACCAUUGUCCUCUCUACUUCAAUGAAUUAACUGGUUAGGAUUCCACAUAUGCGUGAGAUCAUGCAGUAUUGAUCUUUCUGUGCCUGGCUUAUUUCACUUAGCAUAAUGUCCUCUAGAUUCAUUCCUGUUAUUCCAAAUGACAGAAUUUCUUUUUUUAUUUUUUUUUAUUUUUUUAAUUUUAAUAUAUAAAGUUGUAUUUAUUCAAUGGACUCUGCAGUUGUAGAAAGAAACUCACAACUUAAAUCUACCAUCCCAGUUUGGGGCCAGCAUUCUAUUAUACAUCCUAGUACUCUAUUACAUUGUUUCAUCUGAAAGGUAUUAUCCUGCCUUAAUUUCCAAUUCAAACACUCCAUUCCUAAUUCUAGAGUUUGCUCAAAGGUCAUAUUCUUUACAAAGACUAUAAAACUCACAUUUUCUCUCUUUUUUGACAUCUGAUAACACUUUCUAACUAAUUAUUAUUAUUAUUACUAAUCAAUGCCUAAGGUAAUUAAUCUUUGGCUGCCUCAAGUGUGAGCUCCUCCAGGACAUGACCUAUUUUUUUCUUCCUCUUUUAUCCCUAGUGCUUAAUUCCACGUCCCAUGCAUUCUAGGUCUUAAAGCUUUUAUGCUUAAUAAAUAUUAAAUUAAUGAGCUGGGAUUCUGGAAAUCUAAAUAUGGAGUAAAAAUCAACUCUAAUUGUG
rnacentral:lncRNA from 10 species